UCUCUCAUUUAAUUAAGCCAAAACCUAAUUCCCUUUUCCUCUCAAAUCGCCGCCUGUCUCCACCACAGCUCCGUCGCCCGAAAAUCGCCUUACGGCGGCGGAGCACCUCCAAAUUCCGCCAAAUCUUGACCCUACGACCUACAUCACCUCCUCAUCCUUGUUCCACUGUUAAUUUCACCAAAAGACCACCCAAUUUGGCUGAAUUUCAAAUCCAGAAAAUAAAAAUUCGAACUUUUUCCAUUUUUGCCCAAAUUUCUGAUUUAAACCCUCAAUUCAUAUCAAAACCUGUAUGAAUUCCUCAGUUUGCCAACAAGGGAGUUGUUCUUGAAUAUCAGAAGCCUUCUGUCUUGGAUUUGGUCGAAUUUCAGGAGAACAACCUUCGAGUGUUCCAAUUUCUUCGAGCCUCUGUUUCACUUCUUUUGGCACAUGGUGGGGAUUGUCGCAUGAAUUAUUAGCUACGAACGAAGGUUCGGCUAAUAUUCGUGUCACAAUUCUCACCGUUUGGUCAAGCUUUGGAUUCACCGGAGUUCAAGUUCGACUCAGAGUCGUCUUUGUUCUUUAGGACUUCGAAGUUUAUCUGGGGCUCCAUCGGUACAUCACUUUGUUACCCUAUUGAUUAUGAAGUGAAAAAUUGAGAAAUCAAUCGAUUUGGGAGAAUUGAAGCAUGAAAACUCUUUCUGUUUCUUUAUUUUUCUUCUGAUUUGUUCUCUAUGUUCACUAUUAGCCUUUUGUCUAAGUUAGCUUUUCAUAUAUGGUUUGUAAUUAUUAGCAGAAAUGACAAGGUAUUCAUAUGUUGGAUUUUCGUUACAUCUCCAUGAUUCUCACAUGUUUGAAUGAUGUUCUGCUUAUUAAUAGAGAUUCCAUGUCCUAGGUUCACUACUGUUUCAUUUUUAGCUUCAGGUAUUCAUGGUUUACUCUGUAAGCUUUACAUGGAGUUUGUAUUAAUUGUACUGGUCGAAUUCUGCAUCAACCAUGUUGGUUAGACUGUA